rnacentral:lncRNA from 1 species
UCAGAGUAAUUGUGGCUUCAUAGAAUGAGUUGGGUAGAGUACCUUCCGUUUCUAUUUUGUGGAAUAGUUUGUGAAGAACUGGAAUUAGACCUUCUUGUUUUGAAGACCUAGUCUCCUAGCGUCCAGACUUCCUUCACAAUCACUAUUGUACUAAGGAUGACCUUGAAUUGCUAAUCAUUGUACCUCCACCUCCUCAGUAACAAAAUUGUGGGACUUAGCAGCUCUCCUGGUGAGAAAGCUCCUCUCGCUGCAUUAGAGCUCUCUUUAAGUCACUCUGUGCCAGUACAGCUUGCUCUCCUGCAAGUGUCCCCUGCUAUUUGUUCAUCAUAUCCCUAUGCCUACAAGGAGGAUAAAUUAUAUCCUAUUCCUACAUAAUAAAAAAACAAUUCUGGGUUUCAAAGCAAGCUGAGUAGUGAAAGUGACAUAAGGUUAGACAGAAAAUGACAUUUGAAUAUAACCAAAAGAUGUAUCGGCCCAUUAUUGCCAGUCUUUCUGAUAAGAUACAUCGCGACAGCUUGAUAAAUACCCAAGUGUCACACUGAGUAAUAUGCGGUGAAACUAACAGAGUAUAAACGAAUAAUUAUUCCGAGUCUUUCUUCAAAAGAAUUGUGCAUUACUGUUACCUUCUUUAUACACAUACACAAAUGCAUGUUUUGCAUUUUAUAAACUACAGAGAGCUUUUAAAGCAGAGUAGAAGAAGGAAAGGGUAAACUUGAUGGGUAGAAAUUUUAUUAUUGUGAGUAUAAUAAAUAAUAAACAUUCAUAUUAUGAAAAUCAGUGUUUAGUUGAAAUGCAAAAAAAAAAAAAAAAUCCACAUUUUCCUUGACUCAGAUUGGUACUUAUUUUCCCUGAUCUCUCCUGGUAAUUUUUGGAAGGCAUCAAAAAAUAUCCAUCAGUUGGCAGGGUAACAACUCUGACGCCAGCAUUGUGGUUUUGCAUUAAAUUCACAGAAGAAUUCUGUUUUAUCUCUUCUCCUCAGUUUCCUGUGUUUGGUCCAAAUACACGUAGCUCUCCAAAGACUCACCUUUGCUCAAACCUAUGAAAUAUUGUGGGCUUUCUUUAAAUGUGGUCAUAGGCUCAAAUCCCUUUAGUAUUUAACCUUGCAAAAAUACUUUGUCUGAUGUAGCCAAAAAAAAAAAAAAAGCAAAAUCUAAAACUACAUACAUCUGUAUACAAAUGUAUUUGACAAGUAUAUCUCGGGCAUAAAAUAUUACUAAUUAAUUGAACAACAUUAAAUAAAAUAAGAUGUCAUCC